UCUGGAACGUCUCUGAAUUCUAGUAUUCCAGAAUCUGAGUUUGUAGCAAGUAUAGCCCAUCAGUGCUCUGAGAAGCAAGUAAGCAUCCCUAAGAAGUGACUGUCAUAAUUUAGGGCAAUGGAAGCUAAGAAGACCAUUAAUUUAGAACAGGGUAGAGAAGAGAAGAGUGUGCCUCCAGGGUUUGGGAAGAAAAUGAUUGUACUUCAUUCAGGAAGAACCAGACACCUCAAGGAGAUGUUUUCCAUAAACCUUAACAUAAAGCCUACUUCCAGUCCCAUCAUGCCCCAGGGACAGUUGAAAGAAAAGAAGCAGCUUUCCCCCCAAUGGACAAGAAUGAUGAAAUCACCAAAACAGGAAUGCAGGGGCAUACUCAUACUGGAAGAAGGGAAGCAAGUGACAUCAGGAUGCAAAUUAUGAACCACUGAAGAGGAACAAAAUUAAAUUUCCAUUUCAGCUCUUCACUCAUUGAAUUAGUUCCUGUUCCUGACAAGUUAAUGCCCAAGCACUAGCUUUGCUUUGUCGCUGAAAUUCCUUAGAAAUUGGCAGGUUUCCAUUGUUUCCCUCAAAAGCAGUUACUCAGAAAUAGGUAAUGACAUAGAAGGGGACUGUAGAUCUCCAUCUAGGCAUAGUCCUGGAAUUGACUCCAAAUACAUCACUUUCCUAUAUAAAAGCUGAUUGGGUUUAUAUUACUGUUGCUGUAUGUCUCUUUGUAUGGUUUGGGUUGUAAAUGUGUGUGUGGGGGGGGGUUAGGUGAAAGGGAAAUGCUUUGUAAUUCUACUCUGCUUUAUUCUCUGUGGUCCAAUCAUUGUUUACUGGUGAACUCUCAAUCCUUCCAUUUCAUUUUUUGGUUUGUUUAACCUCAAAUUCUUAGUUUUGCUAUUGCCUCCUGACCAAAUCCCAUAACAAAGAAUUGCAUCAGUAUCUCAGCUUUUCAUCUGUACUUAAGUACUUUUGAUCUGUUGCCUUAUAAGGGUUAUUUAUCUGUCACUCCUGUAGAUUCAGGGGAAUCAUCCAGGAAUAGAGCCAGGGAGUUUUCAUUCAUUCUUUCAAAGCCCAAACACCAACUUACAUUUUCUUUUUGUAGCUUUAAAAAGCUAAAUCUAGGUCUUAUAUCUCAGAAAUAUUCACUGAUUUUUACAUUUCAUCCCAAUGGUAACUUUAUUUUCCUUGUGUUCAAUAACUUAUUGUCGCUUGAAUUUGAUCAGGCAAAUAUUCCAAGUAUGUCUGUUCAUACCUAAUGUCUGUAGAAAUUGAAGAGACCUAAAGAGAUCAUCCCUUCAUUUUUUUCACCUCCAGACAAAUGAACAU
rnacentral:lncRNA from 1 species